rnacentral:rRNA from 1 species
CCAUUAAACGCCCUUAGAGUUUGAUCCUGGCUCAGGAUGAACGCUGGCGGCGUGCUUAACACAUGCAAGUCGAACGGGCUCAUAUUGAAACCUAGUGAUGUAUGAGUUAGUGGCGGACGGGUGAGUAACGCGUGGAGAACCUGCCGUAUACUGGGGGAUAACACUUAGAAAUAGGUGCUAAUACCGCAUGAGCGCACAGCUUCGCAUGAAGCAGUGUGAAAAACUCCGGUGGUAUACGAUGGAUCCGCGUCUGAUUAGCUGGUUGGCGGGGUAACAGCCCACCAAGGCGACGAUCAGUAGCCGGCCUGAGAGGGUGAACGGCCACAUUGGGACUGAGACACGGCCCAAACUCCUACGGGAGGCAGCAGUGGGGAAUAUUGCACAAUGGGGGAAACCCUGAUGCAGCGACGCCGCGUGAGUGAAGAAGUAUUUCGGUAUGUAAAGCUCUAUCAGCAGGGAAGAAAUACUGACCUUACGGUCGGCAGACGGUACCUGACUAAGAAGCCCCGGCUAACUACGUGCCAGCAGCCGCGGUAAUACGUAGGGGGCAAGCGUUAUCCGGAUUUACUGGGUGUAAAGGGAGCGUAGACGGCAGCGCAAGUCUGAAGUGAAAUCCCAUGGCUUAACCAUGGAACUGCUUUGGAAACUGUGCAGCUGGAGUGCAGGAGAGGUAAGCGGAAUUCCUAGUGUAGCGGUGAAAUGCGUAGAUAUUAGGAGGAACACCAGUGGCGAAGGCGGCUUACUGGACUGUAACUGACGUUGAG